rnacentral:rRNA from 1 species
GUAGGAGGCAAGCGUUGUCCGGAAUUAUUGGGCGUAAAGCGCGCGCAGGCGGGGUCCUUUAAGUCUGAUGUGAAAGCCCACGGGCUCAACCGUGGAGGGUCAUUGGAAACUGGGGGACUUGAGUACAGAAGAGGAAAGCGGAAUUCCAAGUGUAGCGGUGAAAUGCGUAGAGAUUUGGAGGAACACCAGUGGCGAAGGCGGCUUUCUGGUCUGUAACUGACGCUGAGGCGCGAAAGCGUGGGGAGCAAACAGGAUUAGAUACCCUGGUAGUCCACGCCGUAAACGAUGAGUGCUAAGUGUUAGGGGGUUUCCGCCCCUUAGUGCUGCAGCUAACGCAUUAAGCACUCCGCCUGGGGAGUACGGCCGCAAAGGCUG